rnacentral:rRNA from 1 species
UACAGAGGGGGCAAGCGUUGUUCGGAAUUACUGGGCGUAAAGGGCGCGUAGGCGGCCUUCUAAGUCGAACGUGAAAUCCCCGGGCUCAACCCGGGAACUGCGUCCGAUACUGGAAGGCUUGAAUCCGGGAGAGGGAUGUGGAAUUCCCGGUGUAGCGGUGGAAUGCGUAGAGAUCGGGAAGAACAUCAGUGGCGAAGGCGGCCUGCUGGGCUGUUGCUGACGCUGAGGCGCGACAGCGCGGGGAGCAAACAGG